UGCGGUAUAGCACAGCGGCCCAGUGCAUGAGACUUUGACUCUCAUAACGCCGGUUCGAAUCCGGCUACCGCAG
rnacentral:tRNA from 1 species